CUUCUCCUCCUGGAAUCCUGCUGGCUUCCCUGCAAAUUAACAUAGGCAGGAAGUCUGGUCUCUAGCUGUCUUCCUAACCGCAUUCUACUGCAUUCCAGGGUAUCCUACACUAAAGGCAUGCCUAGGAAGAGCUGUUGCCACAGUAUUUUCCAAGGAAGAGACAUAUGCUGGAGCAGACCAAACUCUGUAGCAGGAGUCGGGUGCCCAUAACUCAGCUUUACCACCAGCUCACCGUGUGAUCUCGGGCAAGUCACCUCCCCUUCCUGCAAAUGGGUUCUACUUCCUACCUCUUACAAGCCGAGUGGCAGUUUACCUGAACUGUGAUUACCUGACAUCACCAAACCAGGUGGGGAAGCCCUGCAGAAUAUGAUACCACAAAGAGAGAGAGAGAGGUCACAGAGCACUGAAGCCCAGUCAUAUGAAUGAUGAAGCCAGCCUGGAAGAGAAUCAGCUGAGCCCUUCCUGAAUUCCUGGCUCACAAAAUCAUAAAUAAAAUAAAUAAAA